UUUAACGCUGGCGGCAUGCUUUACACCUGCAAGUCGCACGGUAACAGGCCUUCGGGUGCUGACGAGUGGCGAACGGGUGAGUAAUGCAUCGGAACGUGCCCAGAGGUGGGGGAUAACGCAGCGAAAGCUGUGCUAAUACCGCAUGUGAUCUGAGGAUGAAAGCGGGGGACCAGGCAGCAAUGUUUGGCCUCGCGCCUUUGGAGCGGCCGAUGUCAGAUUAGGUAGUUGGUGGGGUAAAGGCCUACCAAGCCGACGAUCUGUAGCUGGUCUGAGAGGACGACCAGCCACACUGGGACUGAGACACGGCCCAGACUCCUACGGGAGGCAGCAGUGGGGAAUUUUGGACAAUGGGCGCAAGCCUGAUCCAGCAAUGCCGCGUGCGGGAAGAAGGCCUUCGGGUUGUAAACCGCUUUUGUACGGAACGAAAAGGCUCUGGCUAAUACCUGGGGCUGAUGACGGUACCGUAAGAAUAAGCACCGGCUAACUACGUG
rnacentral:rRNA from 1 species